GACGAACGCUGGCGGCGUGCUUAACACAUGCAAGUCGAACGAUGAAGCCCAGCUUGCUGGGUGGAUUAGUGGCGAACGGGUGAGUAACACGUGAGUAACCUGCCCUGGACUCUGGGAUAACCCCGAGAAAUCGGAGCUAAUACCGGAUAGGACCUUUCCCUGCAUGGGGUUUGGUGGAAAGUUUUCCGGUCUGGGAUGGACUCGCGGCCUAUCGGCUUGUUGGUGAGGUAAUGGCUCACCAAGGCGUCGACGGGUAGCCGGCCUGAGAGGGUGACCGGACACACUGGGACUGAGACACGGCCCAGACUCCUACGGGAGGCAGCAGUGGGGAAUAUUGCACAAGGGGCGCCAGCCGGAUGCAGCAACGCCGCGUGCGGGAUGACGGCCUUCGGGUUGUAAACCGCUUUUAGUAGGGAAGAAGGGCUUCGGCUUGACGGUACCUGCAGAAAAAGGACCGGCUAACUACGUGCCAGCCGCCGCGGUAAAAC
rnacentral:rRNA from 1 species